UACGUAGGGUGCGAGCGUUGUCCGGAAUUACUGGGCGUAAAGAGCUCGUAGGUGGUUUGUCGCGUUGUUCGUGAAAACUCACAGCUCAACUGUGGGCGUGCGGGCGAUACGGGCAGACUGGAGUACUGCAGGGGAGACUGGAAUUCCUGGUGUAGCGGUGGAAUGCGCAGAUAUCAGGAGGAACACCGGUGGCGAAGGCGGGUCUCUGGGCAGUAACUGACGCUGGAGGAGCGGAAAGCGUGGGGAGCGAACAGG
rnacentral:rRNA from 1 species